rnacentral:misc_RNA from 1 species
GGAGUAAAAGUCUAACAAGGUUUCCGUAGGUGAACCUGCGGAAAGAUCAUUACAGAGUUCAUGCCCUCACGGGUAGAUCUCCCACCCUUGAAUAUUUAUACCUUAGUUGCUUUGGCAGGCCGUGGAAACACCAUGGGCUCCGGCUUAUGCGUGCCUGCCAGAGGAAACAAACUCUGUUUUUAGUGAUGUCUGAGUACUAUAUAAUAGUUAAAACUUUCAACAACGGAUCUCUUGGUUCUG